CCUANGGGGGGCAGCAGCUACGAAAACUGCCCAAUGUGGGAAACCACGAGGCGGGCAUUCCGAGUGCCAAGGCAUUGCUUUGGCUGUUCUUUCGCCUAAAAAGCGAGAGAAGUAAGGGCCGGGUAAGACGGGUGCCAGCCGCCGCGGUAAUACCCGCGGCCCGAGUGGUGCUCAUUAUUAUUGAGCUUAAAGCGUCCGUAGCCGGCCUUGUAAAUCUUUGGGUAAAUCGAGCAGCUCAACUGUUCGAAUUCCGAGGAGACUGCAAGGCUCGGGACCGGGAGAGGUUCGAGGUACUCUCGGGGUAGGGGUAAAAUCCUGUAAUCCUGAGAGGACCACCAGUGGCGAAGGCGUCGAACUAGAACGGAUCCGACGGUGAGGGACGAAGCCCUGGGGCGCAAACGGGAUUAGAUACCCCANUANUC
rnacentral:rRNA from 1 species